CCUACGGGGGGCAGCAGUGGGGAAUAUUGCGCAAUGGGGGAAACCCUGACGCAGCAACGCCGCGUGAUUGAAGAAGGCCUUCGGGUUGUAAAGAUCUUUAAUCAGGGACGAAAAUUGACGGUACCUGAAGAAUAAGCUCCGGCUAACUACGUGCCAGCAGCCGCGGUAAUACGUAGGGAGCAAGCGUUAUCCGGAUUUACUGGGUGUAAAGGGCGCGCAGGCGGGCCGGCAAGUUGGAAGUGAAAUCCCGGGGCUUAACUCCGGAACUGCUUUCAAAACUGCUGGUCUUGAGUGAUGGAGAGGCAGGCGGAAUUCCGUGUGUAGCGGUUAAAUGCGUAGAUAUACGGAGGAACACCAGUGGCGAAGGCGGCCUGCUGGACAUUAACUGACGCUGAGGCGCGAAAGCGUGGGGAGCAAACAGGAUUAGAUACCCCUGUAGUC
rnacentral:rRNA from 1 species